GGCCUCAUAGCUCAGUUGGCUGGAGGGUUGGCUGUACUUAAGCCUACCCCUUGCUGGCGUGGGUUCGAAUCCCACCGAGGCCG
rfam:Schistocephalus solidus strain NST_G2 genome assembly, scaffold: SSLN_scaffold0009706